rnacentral:tRNA from 1 species
GGCAAGGUGGCCGAGUGGUUAAGGCGUUCGACUCGAAUGGUAAUCGAAUUCCCUAGGGAGCGUCAGUUCGAAUCUGGCCCUUGUCG